rnacentral:lncRNA from 1 species
GUGAUGAGGCCGCCUGGUGGUGGCCCACCAAUGCAAAUGCAGAUGCAGAGACCUGGGGGUCCACCACCGCCUAUGGCGCCUCCACCACAGUUCAGGCCUGGUGGUGGCCCACCACAGUUCCCGCCGCAGUUUGGUCAGCGGCCAAUGGUUCCUCCGCCUCCCAUGAUGAGGGGCCCACCUCCACCUGGUGCUCCACCUCGACCAGGAAUGCCUGGUGGUCCUCCUGGUCAACCGCCUCGCCCGGGUAUGCCACCCCCGCCUCCUGGCGGUCAGGUUCCUGUUUAUGGGCCUCCUCGUCCUGGUAUGCCUCCACCACCU